GUAACUCUUCGGUACGGUAACAACACACAGUAGGCCGGUUGGAAAAAUUUUGCUCUCGUUGUGCGACGCAAGCAAGGACCAAAAUCCACCCACCCAUUGGCUCACCCACCCACUCGCGUGCCGUACGCUAGACAACGAACGAAAGAGAAAGUGAAUGCCGUGUGUGGCUGUGUGUGUAUACUGACCCUCACACACGGGCGCCCACCAUCAGCGUGUGGCAGCCAGCGGCCGGCCGUAUUUUCACCGGACAAGAUGGCUGCGUUACCGGUACGCGUACGGUGGGAGCAACAACAAAAAUUAGAGGGCAAACAUUUGCGAUCACUUUUGAUCGUCAGCAGCGCCCAAACAUUCCAGCAUAAUUUCGGCUUCUAAACGAUUCGUCCGGUUGUUUUAUUUCACUAACUGUGAAGAAUGAGUAGAAAAUUUGGGUGUUUUACUUAAUCAAAGAUUAGAGGAAAACUAAGACAAAACAAAAGCAUAUCUGAAGUGUCAUUUAGUCGAUUUUGUCAAUGUCAUUUCGGACCUCAUCGAGAACGAAGGAGGCGCUGGUGGACGACCGACGUUCGCUUCAUGCGCGUAUUGUUGGCUACCGGGAGCGACGACGAAGAUGGCGUCCGUGAAGUGGAAAUUUAGUGUUUGGUUAAUGUGUGUUUUGCGGGGCUUUCCGGUGCACUUUGGAUAGUUAAUCGGUGCCAAAUCUGGUGUAUUUCCGGCGGACUAAACGGGGUAGAACUGGAGGCAGGCUUCAAGUGAAAGAUGCUGUGUUUUUUGUGUGUGCAGAAAAUUAACAAUGCAAAUGGGAAUGAAAAACGCAAUCCACGUGCUGUUUAGCGAAAGUUCUCGGCAUGGUUCUGCGGCUGACGACCUCUUUUCUGGACUUCGGAUUUACUAACAAAAUGUUCGUGGACUUCGGACCAAAAAUGACGAUUAUUUCUCUACGGCUACCGACCGUGAUAACAGCAUUAUUGUGUUGUUCGAGGCUAUUUGCUAUCUAGCGAUGCGAUCGUAAUCAUCGUAACAGCCACAAAACGCAUGGAGGUGGUGUCCUAAUUACUGUUUCCAAGCUGUGCCAAACUCAGAUGCGUGACGUCAGCGUGCGAUGGUCUAUGGUGCUUAUUACGGGAGUCACUUCACGGUGAAACGGUGCUGCAUUUUAUUACAAAACUGUUUGCUGAAUAUCUCGAACCUCUCAAUAUUGGCGUUUGUUUUUAAAUUAUUUUUUUUUGUAAAAGAUGCUGUUUCUCUGACACAUUAAUUCCUAGAGGUUCGAGUUACUCGGCAAACAGUUUUGUAAUAAAAUUUUGCACAACUUUGCAAAAGAAACUAUUCGUCUAGCAAGUCACGUUCAAAAGUUAGGUGUGGCGCCCUCUAUAUGGUGAAAAUUGAAGCGGUUUGCAUUGGAGCAUAUAAAAGACAACAAUUUAGCCCCAUUGCGGUGUCUGUUCGUUGGGCAUAGAACCGGAAACGUAGUGUACGCGCCGGCCUUUGUGCUAUAAAGAGCACACAAAUGCAUGUAAAAAUCGGUAACUUCAGUUGGCCAUAUCUCCAAAACUACAAAUAACCCACUGCAGUUUUGUGUUUUUCUGUUAGUCAGAAAGGUACUUUGUCGGAUGGCUUCAUAGAAGCUUGGAUUUGUUUGCGCCUUUUCGUGUUUCAACUCAAAUGAAAAGAGCCUUUGAAAACACCUUUUUACAGUUUCUUUUCAUGAAUACUGUAUAUAAUAACUAAUAUGUUACUAUAAAUUGUUCAUCUUGAUUUACCACGUCACUCUCAAUUAUGUACAGUCAUGUUUCAGGCCUUAGAGUUGAACAUAUGGAUGAAAAACUGCUUAUUAAAAGCCUUUUUAGAAAACGUCUUGUAGCUCUGAAAUCUCAAUUUCUAGAGGUUUGGAGUAUUCAGCAAACAGAUUUGUAAUCAAAUUUUACACAACUUUGCAGAAGAAACUAUUCGUCUAGCAAGUCACGUUUAAAAGUUAGGUAUGGCGCCCUCUAUACGACGAAAUUUGUAACUAAUUCCUUUAAAGCAUAUGAAGGACAGCAGUAAACGAAGCAACUUUCUAGGAGAUAUGGAUAACAUAGGUCUUAUAGGUGUAAGUCAAUAUGACAAAAAAUGAAAUUAGUUCGUAAAGGAACCUAGGACUUGAAAAAAUAGUUUUGCCGUCCGUUUCUCGAUUUGGACACACUGUGCGCCGGGUUAAUACUGGGUCAAAAUCAAGCGAAAGUGGGUGAGCUGGGUGAAAUAAAGAAAUUGCCAUUAGAUCGCAACUGGGAUUGACACUGAGAACAAAUAAAUUCGCGCAGUUGAAACAGCUGAAUGAGAGAAAAAAAAAAAUAAUUAUAAUAGAACAUACGGGUGAAAAGACAUACAUAUGAAUUAGGGUGGGGAAUCGUUAUAUGGAAAAAACAAAACUUGAUAGCAGAAAGCCAGAACCAAAUUUUUUUUUUUUUUGUUCUUUUUGGGGCCCCGAACAAUCCUGAAUUUAUCAAAAGUCGAUUGGUUUUGUCUCCGCUUGGCGCAUUGCAUUUUAAAUUUAUAUGGAGAUUUGUAUGGAAAAACCAACUUUUUCGCCGUUUUCAUUCUAAAGAGCUCAAAAUGGCUCAAAUGGUAGGUUUUUUGAUGCCUAAUAACUUGGCCGAAGACACUAAAGAGCUAGGGUGUGCCAAAAAAAUACUAGAGCUGUUUAAAGUUUUGUAUGUCGAAAUUAAUGUUGCAAAUCAUUUUUUCUGCCAACACUGCCAGUGUACCGGCGUCAGUCAGAUUUCCAUCAAAAGUAACCUCUGAAACACGUUGUAGAUUCUAUUUACGCCUAUAAUAUUACCCUAAACUUGUUUGCAUGGUCCAGCUGAGUGUAUAAACUGGUUACGACAGGUUACUUCUGAUGGGAAUCCUACUGACGCCGGUACAUUGGUAAUGUUGGCAGAAAACAAGAUUUUCUGCAUUUAAAUCGACAUACUCAACUUUAAACAACUAUAGCUCUUUUUAGGGACAUUCUAGCUCUUCAGUGUCUUCUGCAAAGUUGUUGGGCAUCUAAAAUACUACACUUUAACAUAAUGUAGUGCAUUAUUAGAGCAUUAUUGAACUCUCUAGAAAGGUGAAUGCAAAAAAGUAGGUUUUCCCAUAUAAAUUUUCAUACAAAUUUGAAAUGCAAUGCGCCAAGCGGAGACAAAACCAAUCGACUUCUGGUAAGUUGAGGGUUGUUUGGGACCCCAAAAGGAACCAAAAAAAACUUGGUUCUGGAAAAUCGAUCAUUUUUCCCCAACCUAAUAUGCAUACACACAUGUAUAUAUAGAAAAAUAAUAAUAAUGAGGGUAAUAGUAGUAGUAGUUGUCAGAGAAGUGGGAAGGGUUAGUAAUGCUACAUUAUAUGAGUGCAAUGGAUGGACGUUAGUCACGAGGUUUUGCUAGUGGUUUUAGGGUUAGUACAAACCUCGAUUAAGCCCUACAGACCCCGCCAGUAUUUAGUUUUGUUGGGUCAUGCGAAAUUAAAACCGGCGGUGUGAUAAGUCAAGCGUAAUCAAAAAAAAAAGAAAAAAAACAAGCGAAUUGCAAUUUUUGUGUUGAUCUCAAUAAAUUGUUACGAUU